GCCCCUGAUGAUGAUUUCACAAAAUACUUUCGUUCUUCUGAGAUGCUUUAUGCUCUGUGUGGAAGAAUUUUGGAGACCUGAACUGAAGGGGG